rnacentral:lncRNA from 1 species
CAACUUCAAGGUGAGUCCUCUUUCCAAUGAGACAGCUGUUCCAAAACUCCUUCCACACAGAAAUCCUGAAGCCACCACUGGACCUUAACUGUGUUAACACUGCAGUGAAAGGAAGCCCAAAGCACAUUCCAAAAUACUAUGGAUGGGGCCAGGAUCACUGCUCCAUGAGUGGUUGGUCAGGGUAAUUGCUCAUGUGUAGCAUAUGCAAAACCCUGGGUUUGAUCUUCAGCACCAAAAAAAAAAAAAAAGAGGGGACACUGCUACAUGCUGCUGUUUCCCAAAUGAAAGUACUGUUGUAAAAUGCUACUAUGUAGAACAAUAAGAAUGGUGUUAAACCGUAACAUUAUAAUCCAGUGAACACAUCACGGUCUUUUAUUCUCACAUUAAAAUUUACCUUAAAUUUGGAAAUUCAAAGUAACAGCCUUUUCACUAUCAGUCUUGAAUUUAGAAAUUCAAAGUAUCAGCCUUGUGGAAAAUGUAAAGUUGCGCAGAUUGGCUCCUAGUCCCAGCCUGAUUGUCCAGUGCACCAUCUGGCACCCAAGAUGUCCAGUUCCUAACUGAUGAAAAAUUAUAAAGCCCCCGAGUUGAACUCCUGAAUCUUCCACUGUUCUCCUGGAACGAAGAGUAGCUUCUCUCUGACUCCCUGACUUGAAAGCAGCUCAUUUUGUUUUUGUUGCUUUAUAUAAAAAUCUUUCCCUGUGCUUUAUGAAUUUAAAACUUUACCCAGGCUUCCUUACAUUUCCCUCUUGCCACAUUCAGGAGAAUUUCAAUGCUAAGAGGACUGGGCAGCAGGAGCCAGAGCUUCUUUGCAGGAGCACUCGGCCUUCUGCUUUCCAGUUGGUAUUUUCUCUUUUCAACACAUCAUGGGGAUGCUUUGUUUUGAUUUGGGGCUUCCUCAGUAAGGUCAUUCCAUGCCUGUGUCUCUUGUAGGGCCUCGGUCUAUGGCCUGCUAUUUUUGUUGGCAAACAGAGACUCAGAAAUUCUUUCAUUAUCUGUCACCCCUUAGAAACUGGAGCACUGAACCAGGAGCCAAUGAAUGACAUUCAAAGCUGUGAUUACAUUUUUUUUUCCUUAUUUCAAAUAACAUUCUUAUUUUUAAAAAACAGUAAGUGUAGAAUUUUCUGAGCUGUGCUGCCACAGACUGAAUCUUAAUAUCUGUUCUUUUAUUUCAAUUUGAUUUAUGCAUGUACACUAGAGACAAAAUUUCUUAAAUAAAUCUUCCAAAUGACAACAGCAUGAAUGUCAGUUGAGCUCUUGAAUAAUUCCUUGUUGUCCUUACCUGUUCCCACCACUGGUUAUUAAGAGGUCAAGAAUGAUAGGAAGCUUUAUCUGUGAUAGAAUUACUACUUAAAAGACGAAGAAUCUAAACAGUGGGAGAGUUUGACAUCUGAAUGCAGAGUACUCCUGAUUGAGUCUUUAGCCACUAUGGAAACAGACAGCAGACCUGAGCUGCAGGAGAAAGCAUCAUUACUGAAGAAAACACUUGAAAAUCUGUAAUAAAUUAGAAGAGGAUGAAGCAAACAAGUACGAUGGUCACUGGGGGUUGAAAUGGUGAUAUUCUUUAAAAAAACCAAGUGGGGAAAAGUAAAGAUUAAUCUGUAACAUGCAUCAUUCCUUAGCUGAAAUUAAAAAAAAAAAGCCUUAGGAAAAAAAAAAGAGGUCAAGAGAGAUUAAAUGGGAAGAGGUGAAGGAACAUAAUUUUUCCUUUCUUCCACAUAGCAGCCAAACAGGAGGAAGCCACCAGUGCCAGGUGAUAAUCUUUCUGUCAUGUUUCUGUAACAUUUUUCACCUUGAGAGACAAAAUAAAUGGGAAUGGGAAUGGGAGUGCACAUACAAGCAUUUUAUAAUUUAUAUCUGUGUCCUCACUCCUCAAACUUCCAUAAGCUCCCUGAGACCACAUGUAGGUCACCCACAAUACCAACACAUGUGCUUUGUUGGUUGAAUAAAACCAAAAGUACAUUACCUGACAUUAACCAGGGCUAAUAUCUGAAGUUUAACUCACUUUGAGCCCAAGUAAAAGCAGUCAUUUAAAGCAGUAACCCUUUAGAGCUUCUUCAUUCUGGAGCUAUUUCAUGUAAGAGAUCCUGUUAAACUAGUUUUUCACACCCCUACUACCCUAACUCAGGAUGCAACAGAGGCUCUGCAUUCCUGCUGGCAAACAUCAGCCCUAUGAACAGUAUACUGUGUGUCGCUACUGUGAGUCUGUAAAAUUGUUAAUGGACAGUAUAAACAAUUGAAUCCAAUUUAUUUAAAAAUAGUGCAUGUAAUAUGUAACUACUGCCCUGAAAUAACUAUCAUAUAAACAUACUUCCAAUAAAACUUUUCUGCAUGGUCUAACAUAAAGUAUAUUGCAUUACUCUUUAAAAAUAAUUUACUGUAGAUUAAACUCAUUAAAAUGAAUAAUUUAAAAGUAUGUGCAUUUCCGUAAGACUUUCGUUGGAUAAACUUAUUAGAAGAAAAAUUUCAGGAACAAAGAAGCACAAUCUUUAUUAAUGCUACUAAUUUAUUAUGUGCCUAAUUUAAGCCCAUUUUUAAGCAAAAAUAGUUGUCAAGUAAAGCCACUUAAACUGAUAUAAUUAGAAAGAGCUGAGAGGGUAAAAGAGCAUUUUGAAUGUCCUAUGUAUGGCAUAUCCUGUACACUGAUUUGAGGUCUGAGUUUUGGUAUUUUUAUAUAAUUUUAUCUUAUCUUGUGCAUCAGCUGUGUAUUUUACAUCAAGGUAAAUAAGCAUCCUGUUUUAUAUGUUGAAUAAAAAAUGAC